AUGCCACCACUACGUGAUGAGAUGGUGGCCGUCCGGCGGUACGCGGAGCUGCUGUCGCGGCACCGCGGCGGCGCGGACGCGCGGCCGGUCGCGCGGAUCCAGGCGGCCCUGGUCACGUCGGGCCUGCUCCGGCGCAGCGCGGAGCUCCACGACGCGCUCAUCCGGGCGCUCGCGGGCUCCGGGACGCCGCACGCCGCGCUGCCGCUCUACGCCCACCUCAUCCGCGCGGGCCUCCUCCCCACCCCGCACACCCUCCCCUCCUUCCUCAAGUCGCUCGCCCUCUCCCCGGCCGUCCCGGGCGCGCGCCGCCUCGCGCUCGCCGUCCACGCCCACGCCGUCAGGCUCGGCCUCACGGGGUUCCUCCUCGUGAACAACGCGCUCAUCCGCGUCCACGCGGGCCUGCUCGGCCGCCUCCCCGACGCGCACCUGCUGCUGCGCGCCUCGGCCGCCGUCGACGCCUCCACGUUCAACACGCUCAUCACGGCGCACGCGAGGGCUGGCCGAGUCGCCGACGCCCGCUCGCUGUUCGACGAAAUGCCCGAGAGGAAUGCCGUGUCCUGGAGCGCCAUGGUGAAUGGGUACGUGCAGGCUGGGGACGGGAGGGAGGCGCUGGGGGUGUUCUCUCAGAUGCAGGCCCAAGGUGUCCGCCCGGACGACACGGUUCUCGUCGGGGUGCUUGCCGCGUGCGCGCAGCUGGGGGCUCUGGAGCAGGGGAAGUGGGUGCAUGGUUACCUCAGAGCAAACAAUAUCAGGAUCACCGUGUUCCUGGGCACUGCGUUGGUUGAUAUGUAUGCCAAAUGUGGUGAGGUGCAGCUUGGAAUGGAGGUGUUUGAGGGAAUGAAGGACAAGAAUGUGCUGGCCUGGACUACCAUGAUAAAGGGCCUGGCUAUGCACGGCCGCGGCUCAGACUCCUUGACACUCUUCUCCCAAAUGGAGAGCUCAGGUGUGAAGCCGGAUGACAUUGCCUUCAUUGGUGCUCUCUGUGCGUGCACACACACUGGGUUAGUUGACAAGGGUCGGGAGCUUUUCAAUUCCAUGGUGAGCAACUAUGGUAUUAAACCAAAGAUUGAGCAUUAUGGAUGCAUGGUAGACCUCCUGGCACGGAAUGGCUUGCUGAGUGAGGCCAGAGACAUGGUUGAGAAAAUGCCCAUGAAACCGGAUGCCUUAAUCUGGGGAGCUCUAAUGGCUGGCUGUAGGUUUCACAAGAAUGUGGAGUUGGCUGAGUAUGUUAUAAAGCACUGGAUUGAACUGGAGCCAGACAAAAGUGGUGCUUAUGUACUUUUAGGUAACAUAUAUUCUGCCUCUGGUAGGCAUGCGUCCGCGAGGGAAAUUAGGCACCUGAUGCGUGAGAAGGGAGUUGAGAAGACACCUGGAUGUAGCAAUGUGGAGAUUAAAGGAGUUAUCCACCAGUUCAUUGUUGGGGAUCUGUCUCAUCCUCGCAUAAAAGAUAUUUUGACAAAGUGGUAUGAGAUAGAUAGUAGGAUAAGGCUGGAGGAAGGUUACAUGCCUGACAAGAAAGAAGUUUUGCUUGACAUUGAAGAAGAAGAGAUGGAAGGUGCACUCAGCCGCCACAGUGAGAAGCUGGCAAUUGCAUUUGCUUUGAUAAGUACAGAUGAUUAUAUGCCCAUUCGGAUUGUCAAGAACCUCAGAGUCUGCCAAGAUUGCCAUCAUGUCACCAAACUUAUAUCCAAAAUAUAUGGGAGAGAAAUUAUUGUUAGAGACCGAACACGUUUCCAUUUGUUUAAAGAUGGCACCUGUUCGUGCAAGGACUAUUGGUAG
rnacentral:rRNA from 1 species